rnacentral:rRNA from 1 species
GCUUGGUGCUUGCACCGAGCGGAUGAGUUGCGAACGGGUGAGUAACGCGUAGGUAACCUGCCUCUUAGCGGGGGAUAACUAUUGGAAACGAUAGCUAAUACCGCAUAAAAGUCGACAUCGCAUGAUGUUGACUUGAAAGGUGCAAUUGCAUCACUAAGAGAUGGACCUGCGUUGUAUUAGCUAGUUGGUGAGGUAACGGCUCACCAAGGCGACGAUACAUAGCCGACCUGAGAGGGUGAUCGGCCACACUGGGACUGAGACACGGCCCAGACUCCUACGGGAGGCAGCAGUAGGGAAUCUUCGGCAAUGGGGGCAACCCUGACCGAGCAACGCCGCGUGAGUGAAGAAGGUUUUCGGAUCGUAAAGCUCUGUUGUAAGAGAAGAACGAGUGUGAGAGUGGAAAGUUCACACUGUGACGGUAACUUACCAGAAAGGGACGGCUAACUACGUGCCAGCAGCCGCGGUAAUACGUAGGUCCCGAGCGUUAUCCGGAUUUAUUGGGCGUAAAGCGAGCGCAGGCGGUUAGAUAAGUCUGAAGUUAAAGGCUGUGGCUUAACCAUAGUACGCUUUGGAAACUGUUUAACUUGAGUGCAGAAGGGGAGAGUGGAAUUCCAUGUGUAGCGGUGAAAUGCGUAGAUAUAUGGAGGAACACCGGUGGCGAAAGCGGCUCUCUGGUCUGUAACUGACGCUGAGGCUCGAAAGCG